rnacentral:lncRNA from 1 species
AUUCCAGCUGCCGGCACUUCCUGGAGCCAGAGCCACUGUAUCUCCUAGAGCUGGAGCCACCAUGUGCUGACCCUCCCUUGACAGAGGGAGAGCUGCCACUCAUCCCCAACCCUAACCCUGGCACCUCUGGAUCCAAUGGGCUUUUCCAGGACUGAGCUUCUUCCUAGAACUUUUGGAAACAACAAGAACUCAAGGUGCAACAGGAUCACUACACACCAGGUCCCUUUCAUCUCCCCUUCACCCUCCACCAUGAGUGGAAGCAGCCUGAGGCCCUCAGAUACAGAUGCCGGCACCGUGCUUUCUGUACAGCCAGAAGAACUAUGGACAGCCCUGAAACAUCUUUCAUGCAACUCCUCAAGCAGCCCAGGAAGAGCCAGGAACCAUUCGCCAGGAGCUGUGGCCAACUUAAUAACUCAUCCUUGUAUUGGUUUCCAUCCUCUGUCCUUCAUCCGUCUUGUCUCUUACUCCUACUCGCUGGAUCACACAUCCCAAUAAGUAUUUGCACUCAAGCCUUUGUCUCAGGAUCUGCUGUCUGGAGGACCCAGACUCAGUUCAAGUCAUUUUUGUUUUUGUUUUUGUGUUUUGAGAUGGAAUCUCACUAUGUUGCCCAGGCUGGAGUGCAGUGGUGUGAUCUUGACUCACUGCAAUCUCUGCCUCCCAGGUUCAAGUGAUUGUCCUGCCUCAGCCUUGUGAGUAGCUGGGAUUACAGGCACACGCCACCAUGCCUGGCUAAUUUUUGUAUUUUUAAUAGAGACAGGGUUCCACCAUGUUGGUCAGGCUGGUCUCAAACUCCUGACCUCGUGAUCCGCCCGCCUCGGCCUCCCAAAGUGCUGGGAUUACAGGCAUGAGCCACUGAGUCCAGCUGCCAUUUUUUUUUUUAACCAAAUGGAGUUACACUGUCUAGGCUAUCUUUACACACCCCCACCAUCUCAGGCAGUUUUCCAAAUGCAGAAAGCUCAGCCCUCUUUUCACCAUGUGCAUCUGCAUCCUACUGUGUGCAUGAAAUGGGUAAUGGGAUAACCUGUCUCCUUGCAUUGGAUGUGGUGGGUCUCAGGGAGAGUGCUGAGUCAUGGUGACUUGGCAACACAGUCACAGCGGGACCCAGAAUGGAGUUUGCAGUGCAGAUCCAGCAACUGGUUGGGAACUCCGGCCCUGUGCUUUUGUCUGCUAACUUUAACUUGGCCCUGUGUUAUUUUUCCAAGCCAUAUUUUUAACUUCCUCCUAAGUUUUUUUAUUUGUUAAUUUCAUCCUGCUCUAUUUGUAGAUUUGAGGGGUAUAAAUAAGCAAAGAUUGGUGUGAGGAGACUUUUUUAAAAAAUCAUAUCUAAAAGUCCCAAAGUCACGCUGAAUACUCUUACUAUAUGAUGCGACUUUUAAAAAAUGAUGAGAAAAUUGUGAUUUUGAAAAAUAAAAGUGUAAAAACUUAACUGUCUUCAUUUGGAGAUGAUUUAUUGAAUUUAUUUAAUCACUAACGAGCCUGGAACAAGAUUAUGCCAUCCACAGCAGAGAAUUAUACAACUUUGAACAACAGUUCUGGCAUGCUAUGGGGACCUUGUAGAGACCCAGUAUCUGACCAUGGGACACAAAGUGACCAUGAGGCCAAAGCAGCCCAUCAAGAGCUGGGUUCUGUCAGAACCACUAUGUCAUGUCAUUGGACAGGCCCUGGAACAAUCCAUUGUAAGACUGAACUGGUACAUCUGGGAUUAAACCUAAGCAGGACCAGAGGGCACAGUCAAGCUGCACAAUAGCCAUCCACUAUUACUAUACCAGCACUUCCCUCUCAGCUCACGCCCAUGGCCAUAUGUAAGACCCUUAUGAUUAGCUGAUUCAAGAGGAAGGAGCUCAAGCUUCCUUCAUGGAUGGGCCAGCUCUGUACAUCUGUGCAAGCUGAAAAUGAAUGGAAACUGCACUACAGCCCCAUUCAAGAGUGGUCUAAAAAGACAGUGGAUGGUGGUGUCCCUGGUCAUACCCCUUGUUUUGAAAGAGAAGUGGCCUGGGGUUGUGAUAUAUGCAGACUUAUGGGCCAUACCAAAUGGCUUGACCAAAUGGGCAGGGGCCUAGAAGGAGAUAGAUUGGCAGAUUGGUCACAAGAAGGUCUGGAGUAGAGACACGUGCACGGACUACAGGAGUGUUGAAGGUCUUUGUAUCACAUGUUAACAUCCACGAGAGAGGCACUAAACAUACAGGUAGACAAAAUGACUAACCAGUUGAUAGCAGUCUCUGUCAUCAUCCACUCCAGUGCUGGCAUGACAGAGCAUGAAUAGAAUAGCUAUGGUGGCAGGUAUGGAAGCUAUGCAUGGGCCCUCCAGUGUUGGCUCCCACUUACCAAAGCUUUUCCAGCCACUGCUACUGCCAAAUGUCUAACAUUCUAGCAGCAGAGAGUGAUACUGGGGUCCCAGUAGAGCCUAUCCCUCAGGAGACCAACCGGACACUCUGGCAAAUUCACUACACUGGAUACCUUCCACCCUGGAAGAAGCAGCAAUUCAUCUUAACCUGAAUGGGCACAUAUCCAUAUCCUGGGCAUGGGUUCACAUUUCCUGCCCUUAGCAUUUUGACCAGCACUACUAUUCAAGGGAUUCCAUGGUGUUAAAUCCACUUUCAUGGAGUCUGUAUAAUACCACAUCAGGGCAAGGAGUCCACUUUUCAGCAAAGGAGUUGUUAGGAUGGGCGCACGCCCAUGGACUCCACUGGUUCUAGCACAUGCUACAACACCCAGGGGCUUCCAGCCCCAUAAAGCAAUGGUAUAGACAGACCUGUUAGGACUUAGCCAAUAUGCCAGCUCAAAAGUGAUGCCUUGUCAGGAUGGAGCACCAUUCUCCAGGAGGCAGAAUACAUCUUAAAUCAAAGACCUUUAUAUGGCACUGUGUUCACAUGGGUAAAAUACAUGAGUCCAGGAACCAAGGAGUGGAAACAGGAGUGUCUCUGCCAGCCAUCACUCCCAGUGACCUACUUGGAGAAUCCUCCAAACGCUGAGCUCUGUGGGUUUUGAGGUACUCAUUUUUUAAGGGAGAAUGCUUCUGACAGGUGACACAGCAACAGCCCAUUGAAUCAUAGCUGUGGCUGAUCCAUAGGCACUGCUUGCACCAAGGGGACCACAGGCAAGAAAGAGGAAUCGCCAUCUUGGAAGGGAUAAUUGAACCUGAUCAUCAAAGUCAUCAGGAAGAGGGAACUCUACUGUAACAUACAAAGAAGGGAAGAAUACACAUAUGACCUCAGUGAUUUACUUAGGCGCCUCUCAGUACUUUCUUCUCUGAUUUUUAAAGAAAAUAGACUGCAGCCUGUGAAGGGCAUAAUGACCAGGAAGUUCAGACCCCUCAGGGAUGAGCAACUGGUCUUAACAUCAGGAAAGCCACAGACAUCAGAAGAGGUGCCUGUUGAGAGUGAUGGAAAUCUUCAAUGGAUAACAGAGGAGAGAGAAGAUAAGUGUUAGUAUCACCCUUAAGUCACCUCUAGCAUCAGGAUCUAUAAUUUGUCCCACUACUCUUCCUCUUAUAAGUUCCUACUAGGAACAGAGGCUCACUAGUAUCUUGAAGGAAACUUUCCCAGAGUCUAUAAGAGGAUACAAGCGCCGCAAGGGGUGGACUGUUGUGGAUGCUUUGAUGCAUUGUCAUGAUUCCUACUCAGGAAGAUUCUUGUUGAGAAAUGAAAGUCUUAUUUCCAAGAUGCUAGGAAUGCUGUCGGAAGAUAGCCCUCAGCUGCUAGCCUGUGGGGCUUGCCCCACCUAGAGAAUACAGCCUGCAUGAUCUGAAGAUCACACCUCCUGCCAGGAAUGACUUGUACCGAAUGAUCAAUAUGACAGUGGAAAGACCUGACCUUCUUGCUCUACCUUGAGACAAUUCUAAAUGCCAGAUCCAGAGCUUCAAGUGGACUGGCUGAUGUUUUUGCUGAAAACUGCAUCGCAUCUUAACUGGCCCCUCUGUCUCCUCCUACUUGUCCUUCUCCCUUCACAGGUAUUGCUCCCCAGAGCACUCCUUAAUAAACUGUUUCCCUGGGACCCUUACCUGCAAAAACCAGUGAAAUUUGGGUUAUCAUCAUAUGAAAUGAUUUGCAUGCAUAGGCUGAUAAGGUCAAGAAAAAACUUUUAUUCUAAAAAUAGCCAAUUUCAGUAACACCAAACUAUACAAUUGUAAGCCUCUUGCUAGUUGUCAAUUGAUGCUGAUCAAAUAUACAUAUACAUAGCAAGGUGAACUCUUU